rnacentral:rRNA from 1 species
AUUGAACGCUGGCGGCAUGCCUUACACAUGCAAGUCGAACGGCAGCACGGGAGCAAUCCUGGUGGCGAGUGGCGAACGGGUGAGUAAUAUAUCGGAACGUGCCCAGUCGUGGGGGAUAACGCAGCGAAAGCGGUGCUAAUACCGCAUACGAUCUCUGGAUGAAAGCGGGGGGCUCGCAAGGGCCUCGCGCGAUUGGAGCGGCCGAUAUCAGAUUAGCUAGUUGGUGGGGUAAAGGCUCACCAAGGCGACGAGCUGUAGCUGGUCUGAGAGGACGAGCAGCCACACUGGAACUGGGACACGGUCCAGACUCCUACGGGAGGCAGGAGUUGGGAAUUUUGGACAAUGGGCGCAAGCCUGAUCCAGCAAUGCCGCGUGCAGGAUGAAGGCCUUCGGGUUGUAAACUGCUUUUGUACGGAACGAAACGGUUUGCCCUAAUACGGUGGACUAAUGAUGGUACCGUAAGAAUAAGCACCGGCUAACUACGUGCCAGCCGCCGCCGUAACAC